GACGAACGCUGGCGGCGUGCCUAAUACAUGCAAGUCGAGCGAGACUCUUCGGAGUCUAGCGGCGGACGGGUGAGUAACACGUGGGCAACCUGCCUGUAAGACUGGGAUAACACCGGGAAACCGGUGCUAAUACCGGAUAAUCCUUUUCCUCUCAUGAGGAAAAGUUGAAAGUCGGUUUCGGCUGACACUUACAGAUGGGCCCGCGGCGCAUUAGCUAGUUGGUGAGGUAACGGCUCACCAAGGCGACGAUGCGUAGCCGACCUGAGAGGGUGAUCGGCCACACUGGGACUGAGACACGGCCCAGACUCCUACGGGAGGCAGCAGUAGGGAAUCGUCCACAAUGGACGUAAGUCUGAUGGAGCAACGCCGCGUGAGCGAUGAAGGCCUUCGGGUCGUAAAGCUCUGUUGUUAGGGAAGAACAAGUACCGGAGUAGCUGCCGGUACCUUGACGGUACCUAACCAGAAAGCCACGGCUAACUACGUGCCAGCAGCCGCGGUAACAC
rnacentral:rRNA from 1 species